rnacentral:rRNA from 1 species
UACGUAGGUGGCGAGCGUUGUCCGGAAUUACUGGGCGUAAAGAGCGCGCAGGCGGCUGGUCAAGUCCGAUGUGAAAUCUCCCGGCUUAACUGGGAAAUUGCAUCGGAAACUGAUCGGCUUGAAGGUGGGAGAGGGUAGCGGAAUUCCCGGUGUAGUGGUGAAAUGCGUAGAUAUCGGGAGGAACACCGGUGGCGAAGGCGGUUCUCUGGGCAUGUCCUGACGCUGAGGAGCGAAAGUGUGGGGAGCGAACAGG